UCCUACGGGAGGCAGCAGUGGGGAAUAUUGGACAAUGGGGGAAACCCUGAUCCAGCAAUGCCGCGUGAGUGAAGAAGGCCUUCGGGUUGUAAAACUCUUUCAUCAAUGAAGAUAAUGACAUUAAUUGAAGAAGAAGCUCCGGCUAACUCCGUGCCAGCAGCCGCGGUAAU
rnacentral:rRNA from 1 species